rnacentral:rRNA from 1 species
GGCAGCAGUAGGGAAUCUUCCGCAAUGGACGAAAGUCUGACGGAGCAACGCCGCGUGAGUGAUGAAGGCCUUCGGGUCGUAAAACUCUGUUGUUAGGGAAGAACAAGUACCGGAGUAACUGCCGGUACCUUGAUGGUACCUAACCAGAAAGCGACGGU